UUCAAGCCCCCCCUCCAAAAAAAAUGGGGUGAAAGUUGGUUCUCAUACUGUUUCUGAUAAAGUUAAAAAGGUUGAAGAAAUUUAUAUCUAUUCAGCAGGUGCAUUUGCUUCAUGUGCUUCAUGAUGUUCAGAAAAGACAAAUGAGAACUUCAUUGAAAAUAAAUAUUUCAAAGGCAUUUUAAAUAAAUAAAGAUGAAAGAGGAAGUCGGUGAACAAGAACUAGAAAGCCUAAAGACUUUCCUGUCUCAGAAGAGGCUCUGGCUCCACCAGAUCACCAACCAGUUCUGAGGAUGUCACAUACAUAAGCGAAUCCACAACGUCUUAAAAUUGUUUCUGUAAAGCGCAGUGGUCCAGUGAAUAGGAAUUUUCUGUUGUUGAUCCUCACUGUUCUUAGGACGGAGAAAUGUCAGUUUGUCUGGAAUAAUACUGGAAUACUGUGACAUUGUAUUAAAAUAAUACUCUAUCCUUGGUGAAAUAUAUUUCACAUUUCCUCUAAAGUGUAUCUAUUGUUUUAUUGUGCUGAUUUUCAUAAGCAUGUUGUCUGUAAACUUUAAAUGUAUUGACAAUUUGUACAAUUCUGUGAUAGCAUAUUGGCAAUGUAUUCUUGAAAAAUGUGAGGAAGACUUUAUUUGACAGGGUGUGCAUAAGACUGACAUGAUACUGUCAUAAACAUAACACCUGUGAGGAACAUACUAAUAGGUGUUAUGAAGUGUUAUUCGGUAAAUAAUGACACUUCUAAUGAGAAGUUGCUUUAAAAGUUGGAUGACAGUGUUAUGUCAGACCUAUGCACACCUCAUCAAACAAAGUGUGACCAAAAUGGUAAUAUAUUGAAAGCACAAUGUAAUUAGUUUCACCUGUAAAGUGUGUUGUAAUUGAUCCUGAUGUGUUUGCAGUGCUGCAGUGUGUAUGAAGCAUGUAAUGUACAAAGUGGCAAAGCAGAAUAAUAAAAUACAUUAAGUAACUAAAAAGUGUACUUCAUCAGCAAUUAUAAUAAAACAAAAGUGUAAUUGUAGCAUACUGUAAUCACAUUACUAAUGCAUAAAAUAUGUAAUGCCGAUAUACUUAAAAUACAUUCU